UAGGGAAUAUUGCGCAAUGGGGGCAACCCUGACGCAGCAAUGCCGCGUGAGUGAGGAAGGCCUUCGGGUUGUAAAGCUCUUUCGUUAGGGAAAAAUGGAUUUCGAGGUAAUAUUUCGGAAUAUUGAUGGUACCUAAAUAAGAAGCACCGGCUAACUUCGUGCCAGCAGCCGCGGUAAUACGAAGGGUGCAAGCGUUGUUCGGAUUUAUUGGGCGUAAAGCGCGCGCAGGCGGAUCAACAAGUCAGAUGUGAAAUCUCAGGGCUUAACUCUGAAACUGCGUCUGAAACUGUUAAUCUAGAAUAUCGAAGGGGGUUGGGGAAUUUCACGUGUAGGGGUAAAAUCCGUAGAGAUGUGAAGGAACACCUGUGGCGAAGGCGCCAACCUGGUCGAUUAUUGACGC
rnacentral:rRNA from 1 species